rnacentral:lncRNA from 1 species
GGCGCUUUUAAUAAUUCAUUUUUCCACCUUAUAAAUGACCCUAACUUUUAAGUUUAAAAUAAAAAGCUUCAACAAAUUUGGAGCAUGCCAAAUAAUAAUAUGGAGCAUAGGUCUACCUUCACCACCUCCUUCUUUCUUUUUCUCCUCCUCGCUCUCCCUUACUUCUCAAGAGGUAUCUACAUCUUUUAAACUAUAUAUCUAUAUUAUAUAUUUAAAUUUUUUUACAACAAUAUCAAAUUAUCAUAUAGUAAGGGGGUUUAAUUAAUUUGUUGGUGGUACUUAUUAAUUCUACUUAUUAUAUAUGUUAUUAUUAUUAUUGCAGGGGAAUCGGAAGCAAUAUUGGGAACAGAGAUAUAUGAGAUUGAUUAUAAAGGUCCUGAGACACACUCCUCGGUUCCUCCUCCUCAUCAUUCAGCUCCAAAGAAAAGCUUAGUCAGAGCACCAAAUAAGGCAAGUGUGUAUCUUUAUUUUAAAUUAUGCUACCCUUCUUCAAAUUUAAUCAUGAUGUUAUAUUUCAUUACAUAUAUGCCGGUUCAGUUAAUUAGUUAGAAUGAGUAUGAUAAAAUUGUAAUCAAAAGAUACAAGUAUUUGUAUUGUACUAUAGACAUAGCUAACUUAAUAAUCAUAAUUGAAUUACCAAGAGAGAGACCAUUUCUCCACUUGUCACUAAUCAAAGUUCAAAUUCAAAUAACUAUUAGGAAACCUUAUCACAAUAGAUAAAAUAGUGAAGAGUAAAGGGUUUAAUCAUGUAUUUUGCUAACGAGUGAUAUUAAAACAUUUAUUAACAAAUCAAAAUAAAAGUUUUAUAUUGAAAAUAAUUAAUUUUUAAAGAGUUGAAAAUAUAAAUUUUAAUACAUUUGUAUUUGAUUUUUUCUAUUUUUGGUUCUUUAUAAUAAGUGCUCCAAGCAAGGUUGUUUAAUAAGUUAAAAAAUAAUUUUUUUUAUAGAAAAUGGUGUAUCUAAUUCAUUGGAUUAAUAUUUUACUUUAUUUAAAAUUCUGAAAUAAUAUUUUUAGAGCACUUGUUAACAAGAUCUUAAUUAUAAACAAAGUCGAAGUAAAGUUCAAUUUAUUUAGGCGUCAAUUUAGAUCAUAAACCCUCAAGUGGACCAAAGUUGAAUAUGCAAAAAAAAAAAAAAAACUUUCAAUUGGGCCUAUCACAAAAUAUUCAAGUUGAGGAAGAGUUUUGAGUAAAAUAAAAUGUUUACGAGCAAGGUGAAGUGAAGUUUAAACCUAAGAUUAUGAACUAUCAAACUUAAUCCACUAAACACCAAUAUGCAAAACACUCAUCCAAUCAAGUCUGUAUUAUAUACAUCUAAACAUUUAAUUUUCUUCUCCACUGCAGAUUAAGAAAGUCAAUGGAUGAGGGGAAGCUUUUAAAAUUAAAUGGAUCGACUUGUACUACUUCUCUCAUAAAGAAAUACUUAGAGGAAGUAAUGAAUGGAGAGUUUUGUAUGGUUUUCCCUAUAAUUGUUUUUUGAUACUAGUAUGGUUUACCUAUAAUUGAUAACAAGAAAAACUUCUGCAUAUAUUAAUGCUUAACAAAUGAUCAGAUCACUAGAUCAUUUGCUUGAACUUUUGGUUCGUAAAUUGAGUAUACAUAUUUUAUUUAUCUCAAUUUUAUCAGUUAAAUAAUGAGUAGAUCAAUCACAAAUUGAUAUUGCUUGAAAACAUUGCCACACUUUUUUCUUUUUUUUUUUGGAUGCCCAUGCUACAAGGAUCAUAUAUGAGAUAAAUUUUAAGACAGAUCGUGUAUGUCAGAUACUUAAAUAUUAUUUGAAUUUUUAGUUAGAAUCUAAGACUAAUCUAAGACAAUUAUUUUUAUUUUUUUUGGUUUGACAUGUUGAAUUUCAAAUAAUACUAUAAUUUUCUCUAAUUUAUCAAGUAAUUGUGUCAAGUAAAAAUUUGAAAAUUUGUUAACUUAUAUUUAUGCAUCUCAUCUCUCC